rnacentral:rRNA from 1 species
CGGUAGCACAGAGAGCUUGCUCUCGGGUGACGAGCGGCGGACGGGUGAGUAAUGUCUGGGAAACUGCCUGAUGGAGGGGGAUAACUACUGGAAACGGUAGCUAAUACCGCAUAAUGUCGCAAGACCAAAGUGGGGGACCUUCGGGCCUCAUGCCAUCAGAUGUGCCCAGAUGGGAUUAGCUAGUAGGUGGGGUAACGGCUCACCUAGGCGACGAUCCCUAGCUGGUCUGAGAGGAUGACCAGCCACACUGGAACUGAGACACGGUCCAGACUCCUACGGGAGGCAGCAGUGGGGAAUAUUGCACAAUGGGCGCAAGCCUGAUGCAGCCAUGCCGCGUGUGUGAAGAAGGCCUUCGGGUUGUAAAGCACUUUCAGCGGGGAGGAAGGCGUUAAGGUUAAUAACCUCGGCGAUUGACGUUACCCGCAGAAGAAGCACCGGCUAACUCCGUGCCAGCAGCCGCGGUAAUACGGAGGGUGCAAGCGUUAAUCGGAAUUACUGGGCGUAAAGCGCACGCAGGCGGUCUGUCAAGUCGGAUGUGAAAUCCCCGGGCUCAACCUGGGAACUGCAUUCGAAACUGGCAGGCUAGAGUCUUGUAGAGGGGGUAGAAUUCCAGUGUAGCGGUGAAUGCGUAGAGAUCUGGAGGA